rnacentral:sRNA from 1 species
GCAAGACGGACUCGUGGAGACGCGCCGCCGCCGCCGCCGCCGGGCCGGGCCGGGUGUCGCGCGCCGAGGCUGGGGGGGAGUCGUCGCCGCCGCCGCCACCGCUACCGCCGCCGCCGCCGCCGCCGAGGUGACUGAGGAGAGAGGCGCCUCCUCGCUCCCGCCACCGCCGGACUUCAAUGCCCAGUCCCCAGCUCGCCAGCGUUUUUCGUUGGAAUAUACGUUGCACAUUUAUGGCGAUUCUGAGUGUGAGGGCAGACUUCUGCCAGGCUCAGCACAGCAUUUUCGCUGACAAGUGAGCUUGGAGGUUCUAUGUGCCAUAAUUAACAUUGCCUUGAAGACUCCUGGACACCGAGACUGGCCUCAGAAAUAGUUGGCUUUUUUUUUUUUAAUUGCAAGCAUAUUUCUUUUAAUGACUCCGGUAAAAUUAAGCAUCA